CAACUCAGCACGAAUUUCAAAUUCAAAUUUCAAUUCCCUUCAGCGGAGUAGCAACACACUUUUGACACCACAACACUCAAUACGCAGUUUACCAUCCCUACGGUCAUCAGAAGAGCGAAAUUCAAGUUCUAAAAGCAAGAGUCUGCAGAACAGAAUUCCCUUUGAUUUCGAAUUCUUUCUUGGUCAAGCCUAGAAAAUAGAACCCUCACUGUACACGCUAAAGCUGAAGCUCGUUUGAAUCAGGUUCUAUGUAUAAAGAAAUCCUCAGUACUCCCCAGUCAAACUCUGUGCCCCCCACUUUCCCUGCAAUGAUGCCUGAAGUUACCACGUUGCAGAAACCUCGCAGGGAAAGGACAGACGCUUCCCUCUUUCUGUGAAUGACUGUAUUUGCAGAUUGAAUGCCCGAGUCGGGUUAUUUGGAUGCUCCCUGGCAAAUAGCGCCACAAGGGGGCAGCAGAGGGCUGUGUUCCUGAACCCGGGCAGCCUGUCCGUGGGUCCUUCAGCGUCUCACCUGAGUCCCUCCAGACCUCUGACUGGAAAAUUCACUUGUCUGGUACAGUCCAGAGAGCCGUCUUGAUUCUACUCCUUGAUUCUAUUUCCAGUUAGUCCAUUUUCUCAGGGGCUUGAUGAGUUUUACUUGUGCGUUGCUACAGGUAUUCGCUCCAUCAUCCAUCAGACCCUUGGUUUCUCUUUUCUGGGCACCGUUCUAAUCGCUGAGUCUACAAAACACAGCUGAUCGUUUCGCCAAGACCUUUUCCUCUUGGGAGUCCUGCCAAGGCAGAGUGACUCUGUGGAAAUGACACCCGUCGAGGACCAAAGCUACCUGGGUCCAGCCCUGCCUGCCUGCCUGCCUGCCCCACUUGCUCAGCUGCAAACCACCCCUGGAUUCUCGGAGCCCCCGGGCUCAUCUGAUCCCUCACUCCCCGCUGCCCUCACACCUGCAUUUCCUCUGCUUAGAGGCGGUAACCGUGGCCCCUAUCAAGUUUCUGAAACCAUCAUGAGAUUGAAUCAUUGUGAAGACACCCACAGCUCUCAUUUCUAACUUUGCAAAACUGUCAUUUUCAAUCAAGGGCAGGAGCUAGCCAUGAAAUUAAGAAAUGUUAAGGAAGGUGAAGAGCUUAAGGGAAGAAAGGAAAUAUUUCAGAAUUGAAAUGGCUGGGAUGAACUCCACUGAAGGUAACAGAAUAUUGGAAUAACUGUCUGAAAAGUGGGUGAAUCAUCUCCCUGUAUCC
ensembl:lncRNA